UGGAAAGCCAAAGGGGACCCCCGCUAAAAUACAUAUACUUAUAUAGUAAAUAUCGGGAUUGUCAUUUUUCGCGGAACUUUCACUUUCCGCGAAAAACCAAUGCCAGCAUGGCCAUAAAACACUACAUACAAAUCGAAAUCUAAAAAGCGCGGAACUUUCAUAUAUUUUCCGUCGGAGCAAUUAUUUUUCAACCCUGUAGAAAAAGCGGGCUCAAUUAAUCGCGCGGAACGUUAUUUAUCUACUCUGUACAAAUAGUAGUGUUUAAAAUCGCGCGGAGAUUGUAGAAUGCUAUUUUAAGAAGUCUAUUAAAGAGAGAAAAUCCAGUAAAUACCAGAUCCAAAAAGCGCGGAACACAAAUAUCGUCCGCGAAAAUUAAGCAUUGAAUUACUGUACAAAUCUCGGGUUGUUAGGUGUUAGAAUCCCUAGUUACCCGAAAAAUUUGAUUGGAUCCGAUACUUAGAAAUAACCAAUCAGAUACUUUGUAACAAAUGCAACACAAUCAGUGCGUUCAGUAAGUAUAACGUUUCAAGAUGGCGGAGCGAAUUGCAUGGUUAUUGUUUCUACUCGAUGGAUUCGCAGAUAAUUCGGAAAUAGAUCAGAUUGGGAUCAAUAACUGUAUUGCAUACGAUCAUUUACAUGUAUAACCAGGUGUGUGUUGCCAGUAAUGGUUGAAGAUAUGCCAAACAAAUUGUGCCUCUCUACAGACAGAUUUCAGGUCUCAAUUUCGACUUCAAAGGUCAACAUAUCACUGAUAUCAGGAAUUCUGUACAACUGUGGAACCAUGUAUGGUACGUGACCGCACAAUGUUGGUUGGCAAAAGGAUAUUGGAAUAAGCAAAGGGACUCAACAUUACACAGUCAUUUCAACAUGUAGUCUUGUCAGCAAUGAUGGAGCAGUACUUCAGAUUUCCAGAAUCUCGUCAUGAGCUGAAGAUCAUUGCCUAUGAAUUUCAUGAAUGAUGUAGAAUGAUUGGACUGUUGAUGGAACCCACAGUGCAUGUCCUGCUUCAACAUCUGAGCAUAGGUCCUUGUUUAUCAGCAGUUUAGUUCUUCAAGCAGUCUGUGACAGUAACUUGAAAUGUUUGGACAUAUGACCUGGAUGGCCAAGUUCUGUGCAUGAAGCCCAUUUAAAUAGGUACGGCCCAGUGGCGCAUUAAAUGGACAUUUUUCGAAUGUUCUCGAGGAUUCAGCUUACCGCCUGACAAGAAAUCUUGCUUUUUGUUCAGUAUUGAGGCCAUGGACAUUUGUAUCAUUUGCAAAAGAUACUGCGAUAUUUGUGCCUUUGUUCAUGCUUUAUAGUUGAUUAACAAUUGGAAGCCAUAACCUGUUUUAUAGGAUGGUGUUAGUGGGACAAUGAAUUUUGUAAAGAUUUAAAGACUGGAAAAGAUAAUUAAAAGUCAAAAGAGUUCUGCUAUUGUUAAGCAUGCUUUAUUGAUUUGUAAUGUUAGAAAGAUAGCAUUAUUAACAGAAUAAAAUGUCCAUAAUUUGAA